rnacentral:rRNA from 1 species
CGGAUUGUAGGCUGCAACUCGCCUGCAUGAAGUCGGAGUUGCUAGUAAACGCGCGUCAGCAACAGUGCGUUGAAUACGUUCCCGGGUCUUGUACACACCGCCCGUCACGUCAUGGAAGCCGGUAACGCCUGAAGUCGCUGAGCCAACCCUUUUGGGAGGCAGGUGCCGAGGGUGGGACUGGUGACUGGGACGAAGUCGUAACAAGGUAGUUGUACCGGAAGGUGCGGCUGGAUCACCUCCUUUCUAGGGAGA